rnacentral:lncRNA from 1 species
GGGCAGCGGCCUAUACACUCAUAUGGCUCCCCCAGCCUGCAAGCAACACCUUUAAAUUAUCAUCACUUAACAGUUUGGCAGAGUCCCCUGUUACUAGAAGGGAAACCAGUCUGGUUUACAGUUAUUUGUAUACCAGAAUUCUCCUGUGUCCGUAGACUGAAAUAAAUGUUAACAAAACAUAAUAUUUUGUCAUUUAUUUGGCUAAAGCAAAAAUAAAAAAAAAACACUUUUUUUUUUUUGUUUUGUUUUGUUUUAAUAUUUAAUUAUUUUUAAGGUCUCAUGCUUUGACAUUUUUGCCAAAUCCACCUGCUCAUAAAUCAGCCUUCAACAAAAUCAUAGAAUUGUAGGUCACAGAAUCACAGACUGGUUUGGGUUGGAAGGGGGCUUGGAGCAACCUGGUCUAGUGGAAAGUGUCCCUGCCCAUGGCAGGGGGUUGGAACUGGGUGAGCUUUAAGAUCCCUUCCAAUCCAAACCAGUCUGUGAUACGAUGGUGGUUCUAUGAUUAAUUGGCUAGCAGUGUGGGGCUGGUGAUGCCUAUGCACAGAGGAGCUGUGCAGAGGGAGGGUAAACCAAGGAUGCACCAAGCCAGAGAAUUUGAAGGGGUACCGUUUUGAGCCAGCAUGGUGGAAGAGGAUGUGCAAUACAGACAGAUCUCCUGGGUAACGAGGCUCACCAGGAGUCAGGCUGCUGCAAGGCAGUGGAAACAUGCACGUAAGAUGGGGAGCUCAGCAAGGGCCUGAGGCUGCUGUCAAAGCAAGAAUGAGCUCCAAAGGAAGCUCAGUGUCUGAAGCACAGCAGCAGCAGGCUGUUGACAUACAGGAGGACGCUGAAUGGGUCUUUGCCCUGGGGAUGGACAGAUGAGUUGUGUAACUCUCUCCUGAACCUGCUGGUGUUGGAGGGCCCCUUGCUAAGCAGCCUGGACAGGGCUGUUUUAAUGUCUGCAUUGAAAUGGGGAAGUUGUUUCCUUUGGUAUGGAAAAUAUAAUUUUUUUAGUCUUAAAAAUUCCAAGCUUACAUUCAUAAUAGUUUCAGUUCCAGCUUAUUUAUCACUUCUGUCUUGCUUGGAUCUGUUACAUGGCACGUGCAGCCAAAAUUGUUAAUAAAAGACAGUGUUUUCAAGUGACCUUAAUCAAAUUUUAAAAGUUGUUUUCAUAUUUAGUUUAAAAAACCUGACAAUCUGAGGGAAAAUAUUGAUUAUUGACUGCACUGUGUUUUCAGAAGUUUAAAGUUGUAAUAAGAAUUCAUCUUUAUCAGAAAGUUAUUUUUCAUACUCUAAAGAAAAAUUAUUAGAAACUAGAUUUUCUUCAGUCAGUACAUGGCAGGAGAAUCACAUAUGCAUGCCACAAAAAUGCUUAAAUGCUGCCAGUAAAUGGAAUAAGUCCUUUCAUCUCCUUUACAUGAGAGAGAAAUUCUAGUACUUUGGAAUUUAGCAUAUACCCAGCUAAUGUGUGCGUAUAUGAACAUGUAUAUAUAUACACAUUACGCUUUAAUAUAUAUAUGUAUAUAUAUAUAAAGCAUAUAAAAGGUCAGCUUUGAAAUUCUGUAACUAUGUUUAUCUGCUGAUCUACUGAAUGGUCCCAGUAUCUCUCUCUUCCCCUUUUUUUAUUUUUAGUAGAGAGAAUGCACCCAAAUCAGCCCUAUUGUCUUGGUUAUAUAGUUUAAGUCAUCAGACUAAAGACUAGGAAUAACAUCAUGUGAAUCAGGCCCUCGCUCAUGUUGAACAGGCCUUUCACUUUCAAUAUGAAGUAUAGCUGGCUUUUUCUCAUUUUGAGUGACAGAUGAUAAAGCAAUCAUUGUUUUGUUAUUAUUUGCCACCACAGUACUGGGAAACCAAGUAAAAUGGAGAAAACAGCUUUUUUGUUUCUUUAAUGGGUUGUUACGCAAGCAGAGCUGAAACGUUUUAUGUUUUAAUUGCUUUCAAAGGUCCCUGUCUUGUAAACACUUUGUCUCCGACAGCAGCAGGUUUCUGCGUUCCUGCGCUGAAUCUAGGGGGGUUCUGCACGGAUUCACUUCCCUGCCCUUGUGCUAAUGUUUGCUGGCUCAGGGCCGAAUGCACAUGCUUAACUUUACGUGCAUUAGUCAUGCCAUUGAACUCAAAUGGGGGAGGUGACCUUAUGAAAUAGCUACAUCGGGAAUGUACAAUGCAUUAUUCUUACGGCAGUUCAGAAAACACAGGCAACAAACAUAUCUUGCACUGCAGCCUGACACAACCUGAAAGACACAGCCAAGGGGUAAGAAACUUUAAUCUAAGAUAAAGGCAAAUUAGUAUGGUGAAGGAUUAGCAGCUCCUACAAGCGCAACGCAGUUCUUGGAUGUGAUUCAUUUUGUAAGGUAAAAAAGAAAAGCCAGCAAGCAGUAUGUUUUCAAAACGAUUAGCAAAACUCUUCUGAGAAAUGUUUUUUACACAAACGUGCUGUUGUAGUUUAUAUACCUACAUAAUUCUAAAAUGCAAAACAAAUUUACUUAACUUCAGAGAAUGACAAUACCUGGAGGAUAUAGAUAGUGGAUGUCUUUUCCUACACUACACUUACAUAUCUUUGAAAUUUGAAAAAUGUUUUACCUAGCUUCAUUGAAUGUCUGGAGGUUAUGAAUGGUACCAUCUUGAAGUCAUAAAUGAUAACUGUCUUUCCGUCUCUCUUUUCUUUAGACAGUCUCAACUUUGUUACAAGUUCAGAAUAGCAAUUUUUGCUAACCACAGUCAUAGAAUCAUAGAAUCAUAGAACAGUUAGGGUUGGAAAGGACCUUAAGAUCAUCUAGUUCCAACCCCCCUGCCAUAAAAUAGUUCGUAAAUGUAAAUAGUUCAUAAAUAGUUCAUAAGUAGUCAUAAAACAGUUCAACACUGCUUGUAUCAGAAGUGUAUUUUUUACCCAGUCAUGCAAACAAUACAAUUAUUAUUUUAAGACAAUAUUCAUGUGUAAUGCUACAUGCCUUAGUAAUUUUAUGUAAUGAAGACUGGAAAAGUUGUACUCACAUCACUUAGACUAAUCCAAACCCUAACCAGAAUAUUUAUCAAGCCUAAAUUUUCCUGUGUAUUUACAUCUCUGUAAUAUGUCUUUCUAAUGUUCAAUGAGCCACCAUUAAGAGCAGUAUUUUUGAUUCUGCAUAUGCAGAUUCAGUAUAUGUCAUUGGAGCUAUUCUAACUAACUGGAGCAGUUUUAAGGAAAUGACCUCAGAAAGGGGAAAAUUAAAAAUACAUGAGGAAAAAGGAUGCUGUUCCAUCUACAAAGUAGGGAAGAACAAUCUAUACUACUUAAAUAUGCAAUUCCAUGCUUUCCUGUGUUAAAAAUGCUGCAAUGGACCGAAAGCAACAAGUGCUUUCCUAUAUGAAAUUGCUACUCAUGUACAAAUUGUAUCCAGUACACCAGAAGUAUAGAUAUUAAUCAUUCUUAGCUCUCCUGUGUCAGUUUUUCAGUUUACUUCUAAAAACUUUUUUCCAGAGAAAGAUAUUAUUCUUGCUUUCUAGCAGAUGAGGAAAUCAAAACGUGAUUUUUCCAAAUCACAGAAAACCCAAAACUUUCUGUACCAGACCUCAUGGCUCCCUGUAUAAAGACUUGCAUCAUACAGUGGUAGGACAAAGGGGAAUGGGUUCAAACUUAAACAGGGGAGAUUGAGAUGAGCUCUCAGGCAGAAGUUCUUCCCUGUGAGGGUGGUGAGGCCCUGGCACAGGUUGCCCAGAGAAGCUGUGGCUGCCUCAUCCCUGGCAGUGUUCAAGGCCAGGUUGGACAGGGCCUGGAGCAACCUGGUCUAGUGGAAGGUGUUCCUGCCCAUGGCAGGGGUUUGGAACUGGGUGAGUUUUAAGGUCCCUUCCAGCCCAACCUGUCUGGGAUUCUAUGAUUCUAUACCUGAGUAUUUUGCAUUGAAACACCAAAGCUUGUUUGCAGGUGCAUUUCAGCAGCCUGCUUCCUUCUUUUAUUUACUUGUAUGUUAUUUUUAUGUCUUGAUGCAAUUCUGCUUUAUGUGUAUGGGAUGGACGCAGUCAGAUUUGGAAAGAAAUUUUGGUGCCAUCACAUGGAUGUGCUACUGGAAGCUGGGUGCCCGCACGUCUGAACCAGUCUCCAUCCGUUUUUCCCAGUUCUGCAUGGGCUGCCUGCAAGACAACAGCAUCUUUAGGUCUAGUGCAACGGUCAGAUAAGACUUGUGUGGGUCUCUGGAUACUUAUCCUAGUGAGAGGGGAACUAAAUAUUGUACCAGUGGCUUGAUCUGCCCUGUCCUGGCUGCCCAAAGUUGUGAGUCAGCCACCAUCCUAUGUGUGAUGCUCUCUAGUGAUAGAGCAAUAAGACAAUUUCAGACAAAAAUAAGGCUGCAAACUAUCACCUGGGCCAUGGAAAUGAUCAAGGAAGUCCAAACUUAAGUAUGAACUCAAGACAAAAUGGGACAGUUUCAGUGUGGCACAGAAUAUCGACAGUGCACUAUCCAUGCACUCAAAAAAGAGUUUAUUCUGGUCUCUUUGGAUAGAUACAGGUAGUUUUAGUAAAACUACCUGUUUUUCAGAUGGUAAAACUGUACCAAGCCCUGUACAGAAAAUAUCUGAGCUAAACAGAUGGUGCUUAGUCCUGCAAAAUUAUCUUACAAAUGGCUUGUGCUCUAAGCUGAUUUUAUGCAUAGCAAAUACAUUUCUAAACGAGAUUUCCUGCAUGAACCUCCACUAACAGCAAUACCUAUUACAUAAUGCCUUAAAACGGUAUACCUACUUGGAGGUAAUAAGCCUCACAAUCAGUCACUAUGGCAAAGAGUAAAUUGUCUUUUAUUCCCUUUUCAGAGGCAUAAAGGAAUACACAGAAGAAAAGAGUUUACUUCAGUUCAAGUGCAAGAUAUUAUCUUCUACUGGGGCUAAAAAUAAGAGGUUUUUCCAGUGUUGAUCUUGUUUACGGUGCUUCAUAUUGCUACUUCACUUGUCUUUUUAGUUCAAUAUAUAUGAAUUCAUUAAGACAAGAAUGUUAAUCAGCAAAAUAUCCAAAACAUUUUUGCAUUACUAUUUCUGUGUCAUUCUACCUGUAAAUAUAUUAUCCAUCUUCUCUUGAUUGAUGAGUUCCCAUCUGCAUGAGUGUAUGGCACAUGGAAUUGAAGAGAGAAGGUUUUGUCAUUUCAAGUUGUACUUAAAGUAGAAAAAUGAACAUGCUUUACAGGAAAUGUCUUUUUCUAAAAGACUUAAUAAUUCUGUGUUUCAGAGCAGCACAUAUGGCUAGUGACCUCUCUUCCCAAGGAGAAUGGCUGAGAUGUCUGUUUGGAAUUAUUCCUGGAAUUAGACCAGCAUGAAGUCUCCUUUACCAAUCUCAGAAAAAAAAUCAUGUCAUGAAUUGGAUUAUGUAUGGCAAAGAUGAAAAGGCAAGCCCUUCUCCUUGCAUGAAAACCUUGGAAAGCUGUAAAUUUGGGAGUUCUGUUGAAAGUCAAUAUAGCAAAACUUUCACUGGAAGAGAAUUGUACAGUCAAGUUUUUGAAGGUUUGGAAGUUUAAGAAGCCUUGGAUGCCAUUCUGAUACUGUCGCAUACUGUUUUUCUCACUUAUUCAAUCAUCAGAGUUUGAAGAUCCACUGAAAUCAGUGAAUAAAGCUGGACGAAUCACCCUUAAACAUCAAAAUACACUUGGUGGAAUAGAAGAGCACCCAGAAAGUAAUAACACACUUAUGGGAUCCAGCCUCUUUGUUUCAAGAUGUGGAGGCAAGCAGGAACCCUUGGAAUUGAAGGCUGUCUGCCCAUGUUGAGCCUGAUCUAUCAAAUUCAGUAUUUUAUAAUAUCACCUCAUUAAGAUCCAUAUAUGCUCAGACAUACAGCAGAUAAUUCACUUGUUAUAAAUAAACAGGUACUUCUUAAUUGU